GCAAAUCGAGCCCGGAGGAACCAGUGGCCCGUGAAAAACCAAACCAUCCAAGUCGGAAAUUACACAUUGAUGCACAGCUGGAGACUCCGCCGCCUCCCCCCCUCCUUGUUUCUCAUCAUGUAUGAACGGUGCAGGAGCCGUGCAACGCUCCCAUCCAGCCUGUCAGCAGGAUGUCAUUAAAAGCCCCUCCAUCUCUCCUCCGGCUGCUCGCUCUUUUUGCUUUUCUUUUUUUUUUUUUUUUUAUCCCCCUCCCCCCCAAACAGAAAUUCCUGCGUUCCUCUGCACGCUGCUCCUCUUUGGAGUCCUUCUGUCCAUCUCUAUUUCUGACAUGGGAGAAUCCGAAGUGUCAGUCUGUCUGGGCGCGGAGGUGAUGGGUGAGGAGAUGUGGCGGAGGAGACGGU